rnacentral:rRNA from 2 species
AAAUUGAAGAGUUUGAUCAUGGCUCAGAUUGAACGCUGGCGGCAGGCCUAACACAUGCAAGUCGAACGGUAACAGGAAGCAGCUUGCUGCUUCGCUGACGAGUGGCGGACGGGUGAGUAAUGUCUGGGAAACUGCCUGAUGGAGGGGGAUAACUACUGGAAACGGUGGCUAAUACCGCAUAACGUCGCAAGACCAAAGAGGGGGACCUUCGGGCCUCUUGCCAUCAGAUGUGCCCAGAUGGGAUUAGCUUGUUGGUGGGGUAACGGCUCACCAAGGCGACGAUCCCUAGCUGGUCUGAGAGGAUGACCAGCCACACUGGAACUGAGACACGGUCCAGACUCCUACGGGAGGCAGCAGUGGGGAAUAUUGCACAAUGGGCGCAAGCCUGAUGCAGCCAUGCCGCGUGUAUGAAGAAGGCCUUCGGGUUGUAAAGUACUUUCAGCGGGGAGGAAGGGGAUGUGGUUAAUAACCGCAUU